AAAGCAGCUACAUAUUUCGACGGACGGUCAGGUCGGGGGAGAUAAAGCGUUAAAUUACUUUGUUUUGAUGCAUCAGUUACUAAGGUUAACCGUGUUUAUGGAAUGUGGUUGAGAGCUGCAAUUUGAUUUCAUAAACAACACAUGCGCAGUAUUUCAUACUCAAGGUGCGAGUCCUUUUCCUGUUUGUGUCAUACAUCAUCUCCUCAACCCUGUUAACAGGGUUCGGUUUACUGUCCCGGAUCAAACAAACGACAAGAAGAGAAACGCAGCACUAGUAAUACAUCUACUAGGAUGGAUGAGACCAACAAGUUUCUAGGGUGCAUUUCAUUGCAAGGUUCAUUGACUGUAUAUUUUUGUAUGUUUGCACUUCCUUACAACUCCCAACUUAAAACUUACAACGUGAAGCUAUUCAAACCAGUAAUGGGUGGAUUUAAUGUUUUCCCUUAACAGGUAAAGCACGUGCCAACCGGUUUUUCCAUAACAGCUUUGGAUAGGGGUGGCAGUUGUUGUUAAAAUAAUAAAAGAAAAUCAUUUUACAGAUGACUAGAUUGAUAAAUAAAUCUGAGCGAUAAAUAUUUUUAGGUUAGCGCAAUCGCACAAAACCACACCUUUACCUCAAAACUAUUAAAUUAAUUUAAAUAUU